AUACGGAGGGUGCGAGCGUUAAUCGGAAUUACUGGGCGUAAAGCGCGCGUAGGCGGCUUAUUAAGUCAGAUGUGAAAUCCCCGGGCUCAACCUGGGAACUGCAUCUGAUACUGGUAAGCUAGAGUUUUGGAGAGGGAAGUAGAAUUUCAGGUGUAGCGGUGAAAUGCAUAGAGAUCUGAAGGAAUACCAGUGGCGAAGGCGACUUCCUGGCCAAAAACUGACGCUGAGGUGCGAAAGCGUGGGUAGCAAACAGGAUUAGAAACCCGAGUAGUCC
rnacentral:rRNA from 1 species